rnacentral:rRNA from 1 species
CCUACGGGAGGCAGCAGUGGGGAAUAUUGGACAAUGGGCGAAAGCCUGAUCCAGCAAUGCCGCGUGAGUGAUGAAGGCCUUCGGGUCGUAAAGCUCUUUUACCAGGGAUGAUAAUGACAGUACCUGGAGAAUAAGCUCCGGCUAACUCCGUGCCAGCAGCCGCGGUAAUACGGAGGGAGCUAGCGUUGUUCGGAAUUACUGGGCGUAAAGAGUACGUAGGCGGCUAUUCAAGUCAGAGGUGAAAGCCCGGGGCUCAACCCCGGAACUGCCUUUGAAACUAGAUAGCUAGAGUCUUGGAGAGGUUAGUGGAAUUCCGAGUGUAGAGGUGAAAUUCGUAGAUAUUCGGAAGAACACCAGUGGCGAAGGCGACUAACUGGACAAGUACUGACGCUGAGGUACGAAAGCGUGGGGAGCAAACAGGAUUAGAUACCCUAGUAGUC